CAGAUAGAGGCGCGCUGUGCGAUCAGUACCCCGCCCGCCAAGGCCCGCAGGUCUUGGACGGGGGAAAGGCGUACGGCGCCGAAGGCAGGGGCUGCUGCGGUGCUCCUGUGCUGGGCCGGCAAACCAAUAGCUGCCGGACUGUCGCAUCUAACCAUGCGGAGGGCUAUCGC
rnacentral:ncRNA from 1 species